rnacentral:lncRNA from 1 species
GGGGCUCAUGUGUAGAAUUCAGAGGAAUCUGUGAACUUGGCUGGGGGAAAAAAAAUCUCUGUUUAACAUCUUCUUCGAUUACGAAUGUAGGCAGCAAACCGCAGUGUAUUUGCAGUCCCUCCGACAUUGUCAUCAGUAGAAAUCACAGAUAUUUUCAUAUCACAUUUCAGCUGCCAUAGAUAUCUGGAACUAUGAUUUAUGCCCAUCACAGCUUUGAAAUUACAGCAGUUAUUAUACCUGCUGCUAGAGCUUAUUAUUUAAUGUGUUAAUAAGGAACAGAUACUUCUGUAUUACACAUUCAUUUUUUACAAAAAUCAUUAUAUUUCAGUGUAAUUGGUUUUCUUUAUAGUCAUGCUAAGUAUUUUAUUUUAUAUAUUCUAAAACGUUCCGAGAAAGGGUCCCUGGGCUUAAUCAGUCUGCUGAAGGGGUUCAUGGCAUGAAAAGGGUUAACACUCCUGGCGGAAAAUCAGUAAGCUUUAAUUCCCAAUUUCCCACCCUCCCUAACCCUAAUCUUUCAUAUAUCCAUCUAUCGCUGUCUAAUUAGUGCAAGACAUUCUUGAGCAGUAGUAAAUUUCAUUUAAUAGUUUGGCAAAUUUGCAAAAGCACAUAAUUUGUGGUUUGGGUAGAAGGUUUUUAAUAUAUACCAAGAGGUAAAUUUACAAAUUGCAGGCAUACACUGGCAACCAGUUCGGUAAUUUCUAUCAGCCCGCAAACCCACCAGCCCCCGCGUUGACUGCCCAUCCCAUAGAAGCCAGUUCAUUGAAACAGCCACAGAAUGGAGAAUUAAGUUCUUGAGAGGUUAAGGAGCUUGUGUAGGCUAAGUGAUGAAUCACUUGAUCAAAUGCAAGCUCAAAUCCUGGGAAGGAAGAGAAGCAUGGGAGAGAAUAGCUUUGAAGUGGCUUCUGAAAUGGCGGGAAUGCAAAAGAGGCUGAAUGGAGGAGGGAGGGGGUUGGGGAGGAAGUGGCAGGACCAGAUGUUGACUUUGAGGAGGAAGCCUGGAGAGAGGAAACCCUCCCUCCAUCCCAGCAACAUGAGAAUAGUGGUUGGGGCGUUCCCACUGUGGCAAAGCAAAACGAAUCCGACUAGGAACCAUGAGGUUGCAGGUUCAAUCCCUGGCCUCGCUCAGUGGGUUAAGGAUCCGGCGUUGCCUUGAGCUGUGGUGUAGGUCGCAGACAUGGCUUGGAUCUGGCGUUGCUGUGGCUGUAAAUGUAGGCCGGCAGCUGCUAGGGGUCCAAUCAGAGCUGUAGCCGCUGGCCUACACCACAGCCAUAGCAAAAUGCGAUCCGACCCGUGUCUGCAACCUGCACCACAGCUCACGGCUGUGCCAGAUCCUUAAUACACUGAGUGAGGCCAGAGAUCGAAUCGGUGUCCUCAUGGAUGCUAGCUGGGCUCACUAACCUCUGAGCCACGACGUGAACUCCAUAAAUGGCUCCUUUGAGAGGCCAGUUGGACUUCUGGAAACAUCAACCUAGGCUAGACUCUCUGCAGUUUUUCCAGAGGCCGGGAUGGUUCUCUUUGGCUUGGGCCAGAGAAGAAGCUUGGCCCAGCCUCCUGGGCUGUGAAUCAGGGUGGGUGGAUAUGUGGAGGGCAGUGUUACAGGUGUUUUUCAGUCACCCCCAGAACAGAUCGCCUCACUUCCAGGGUUCUCUCAAAACAAAACAAAACAAAACACAACACAAAACACUCCAUUCCCCCUCGUCUGCCCAGGGCAGUGAGAACUGUUGGCAGCCCUUCUCCGUGCCCGGGCCUUCUCCUGUGUGCUUUUCUGCCAGCCUCUGGGGAAGAUGCAUCCCCACCAUCAUUCAUCAUAACCAAAGUUAUCCUUCCAGAGCAGAGCCUGACCGAUGCAGACUACCACUUUCCUUAGAGCUGGAGACCAGGAACGAAGAGUGGCAGAUGAAUGCCAGUUCCUGGGGCCCCAAAGCCAAGCAGCAACCUGCCAUGUGCCUGUCCCACUCUGGGGGUGGGGCAGAAAGGGUGCGACGGGAGUCUUCCCAGUUAUCUGCUUUGGGACUGGAGCACCAAAGAGCCAGCAUCCAUUCUAGCGCAGAAGUGGGGCUUUAUACCCAUGAUUGCUGAUUGCCUGUCGGCUCUGACUAUCCUUUCUUUCCUCUUUCCCCUUUCCCUUCAUCAUUCCUUUCCCCCCUUCUUUCCUGCCAUCCAAUACAUACUGACUGAUUACUUGCUCUGGGCCAGGUCCUGGGCUAGAAAAGGAGUGUCCAGUUCAACAGAGAGAGAGAAUCAGAUGCUGAUGACAGGACAGUUUGAUGCAUGUAUUGACAGGCAUUCUUAUAGGACCUGUCAGAACCCAGAAUUGGGGCUGGGGGGUGCCACCCAUCCUGACCAGUGUGUGGAGAAGGGGAAGACCCCCGUAGUGAAGCAUCUUGAGGGUUGAGUAGGACUCACCAGCUGGAGGAAGAAGGAGCAGGAUUAGGAUUCUGUGCAUCGGGAGCAGAAGGAAGUCCAGAAGAUGCAUAGCUAUGGCAUAUAUGGAGAGUUCCAAAGGAUCACUUGUUCACUGAGUUUUGGUUCUCUCUCCUGUAAAAUAAGAAUAGUACCAAAGUCAUAGCUGGCACACACAAAACAUCCUUUCUCCCUUUUUUCUCAAUUUAUUUUAUUUUUUUACCAGAAGGUUUUUUGUUUUUGUUUUUGUCUUGUUGUCUUUUUAGGGCCACACUCACAGCAUAUGGAGGUUCCCAGGCUAGGGAUCUAAUUGGAGCUGUAGCCACCGGCCUACACCACAGCCACAGCAAUGCCAGAUCCAAGCCACGUCUGCGACCUACACCACAGCUCAUGGCAACACCAGAUCCUUGACCCACUGAGCACGGCCAGGGAUCGAACCUAUAACCUCAGAGUUCCUAGUCGGAUUCUUUUCCACUGCGCCACGAUGGGAAAUCCCGGAAAGUUUUUUUUUUCUUUUUCUUUUAUUUUUUAUUAUUAUUAUUUUUAACAGUUAUUUCCCCAAUACAAAUUUUUUUCCUACUGUACAGCAUGGUGACCCAGUUACACAUACAUGUACACAUUCUAUUUUUGCACAUUAUCAUCCUCCAUCAUAAGUGACUAGACAUAGUUCCCAGGGCUACACAGCCAGAAAGAUUUCAUAUGAAGAAAUAAUGGCAAUGAGAAGUGGCAUGUGCAAAGUGCUGGAGUCAGGGGACAUCUGAUGGAGGGGAUGGAGCUUUUUGGAGGGGGGGCAGUAUUAAUUGAGGUUGAUAUUUAGGAUUAGGACAAAUUGGCGCAAUUUGAGCAGAUCCUUGCAGGAUGGGAAAGACUCUGGUGGAAAAGACAGAAAAGGGCAUCCUGAAGGGGUCGGUGCAGCGUGAGCAAAGGCACAGGUGUGUUCAGGCACAGGAUGAGGUGUGGUAGCAUUUGUUAGGGACAGAAGAGGUGGGGAUGAGACUGGAAAGGUGGGCUGAGACCACUUUGAUGCCUAACUAGGGGGCACACAGGAGACAUUUUGCCUGAAUGUGUGUUUUGUUGGACAUGCACAGCAUAAAAAAAAAAAGAGAGAGAGAGAAAGAAAAGAGUUAAGUCAAUAUUAAAAGAUCAGAUUUUACAUAAAUCUGCAUUCCUGAUGUCAUUCGGAAAAAAAAAAAAAAUCAGGUCUGGCAACACGAGCCUUGAAUUAAUUCCCACGUGGCCAGAAGGUGAGUGGCCAGAAGACCUGGCCAGAAGGUGAAUGGUGGACAUUCAGGAUGUCCCUGCAGCCCACCGUCACAGGUUGCAUCUCUCCCUGGCCAAUUAGCUUGAAUACUCUCCACCAUUCAAAUCACUCUUGAGUUAAUACAGUAUGUUCAGAAAGCUCCAAAUAAGAUGCUAAUGCAUUACAAGGGAGGAGAAAGAAAAUUCUAAACCAUUAACAUUUUGGUUCCUUUAUUAGAUUCGGGAAUGAAUUUUACAACUCCUUGGGGAAAUUUUAAUUGUGGACUCGCAGUUAGGUGGCAAAAAUGGGAUGCUUGAUGCAUGCUGACUUGAGAAGGAAACUCCAGGAAGUGAAGGGUGGGAGGGGACGCCUGGAAAGCUGGAGUUGAGGGGCCCCGCGGUGAGUCAUUGGAUCCACUGGUCUACACCAUGGAGUCUUUGCUAGGGAUGGACACCCACACACCUGUCCUGGACGAAUCUUUACUGCACUGAAAGACAUUUACCACCUUAUUUUAGUAAACUUUUUGGCUUAAAACAUUGGACUCUUGAAGGACAAGGUGAAAUUCAUGUGGUUUUUUGAUAAAAAAACUAAUGGAAAAGAGAUAAUUUCUUCUACUUUUUCAAUAACUUUUGGAGUGUCUGUGAGCAGGUGGUCUUUAUAAUUUGAAAUACUCAACAAAACCUACUGGAAAUUUUGUAUUAAUAAGUUAUUAAAAAUAUUAUACCAGUUAGUAGCAAACAUUUAAAGUAACAUAAAAGCCUAUGAAGGAGAAAACUCUACAAACUGUCAAGAAUUGGUAGUUAGAGAAUGGGAGAGUUUAGACUGUAUUAUUCUAGAUUUGGCACAAUAUCCAUAUGAGAUCUAACUAUAUCUUUGUAUAGAUCUAGAUAUAUUCACAUAUAUAUCUGGAGAGAAAAAAAAUUUUUUAAUAAAAAUGAGGUUUCCUGGACUUCCUGUCAUAGCUCAGCGGUAACGAAUCCGACUAGUAUCCCUGAGGACACAGGUUCAAUCCCUGGCCUUGCUCAGUGGGUUAAGGAUCCAGGGUUGCCAUGAGCUGUGAUGUAGGUUGUAGAUGAUGCUUGGAUCUGGCGUUGCUGUGGCUGUGGUGCAGGCUGGCAGCUGCAGCUCCAAUUCAACCCCUAGCCUGGGAACUUCCUUACACCACGGGCGUGGCCCUAAAAAGACAAAAAAUAAAAGAGAGAAGAGAGGUUUCCCAUACUGUUCUGCUACGUUUUUCUCCUAAUGCUCCAUCUUGAACAUAUUGCAGAUCAUUCCAUCACCUCUAGGCCUAAAGAGAGUAAGAGCUGGUUUUGAGUUCCCUCUGUGCUCCUCUGAGCUUCCGUUCUCUGCUCUAUAAAAUAGAGGUAAUGAUUCCUUCCUUCAAAGGUUAGGAUGAGAGUUAACUAGAAUGCAAAUGUGCUCAGCACAGCUUAUUGGAUAUUGGGUGAUCAGAGCCCAUCACACCAUCGAGAAAAUGUCUUUCAUUCCUUGGAUUCCUCAUCCUCCACCCUUGGCCCCCUUGGGAGAGGACGGAUGGGAGGCUGUGGGGAAUGAGGCUGAGUCUGGGGUGAAUCACAGCGUUUCAUAAUGGAGUUUAAAAUCCUCCUUUCAGUGCGGAGUCAUGUUAAAAUCUGAAGCAGCUCAUUAACAGAUGCCGCCCGAUUUUGUUUAGGACACUGUCUCUGGGCUCACUUUUAUUUAUUCAGCUGCAGGAGGAUGCCUGAAGCCAGGUAUGUGGAUAGGAAGGCUGUGACCUGGGCCUGCCCUUCGUGGGGGCGCUCUCUUGCCAGUGGGGGAAAGCCAGCCCCUUUGAGUACAAGGGGGAGUCGUACCUUAUCUUUGCAAAAGGCAUCCCCUCCUGCUACUGAUGUUCCCUUUUCCACUUCUCUCCUUCCCUUCUGCCUUUAGAUGACCAUGUGCUUUUUCAUUUGUAUCACACAUUUUUCACAAAGACCUCUUACUCUCGUUAGCUCAUUGAACCCUGGGACAAGUCAAUAGGUUUCAGUCCGUACAACGUGACAGGUGAAGCAGCAGAGGCCCAGAGGACCUGAGAUAGGAGUCCAACUCACGCAGCAAAAAGUGGACAGAUCUGGAUGUCUUGGCUUGCAAGCCAUGCGAGUCGUGCUGUAUCAUGUUCCCUCCUUUUCUAACUGUUGGCAGGAAGCUCCUGAGAGUGAGGGCUGCGGGAGGGGCCCUCAUUCUGGCCAGUGGGGAAGCCUUUCUGGAAUGCCUGAGGUGGUUGGGCUUGGUGUGCUGGGAGGGACUGGUGAGACCAGAUAAAGGGAUGGGUUUGGAGGUCAUCCCAAGGUCAGUGGAGGGGGCGGCGCAGAGCUGGGGAGAAUGGGCUGGUGCAGAGCCUAGACACCAAAGGGGAGGCCAACCUUUGUCACCAUUGGUAGGUUGGUGGGUGUUUUCAACAUUCGGUAUCAUUUUUGAUGUUUGCCCCCCCCCCUUUUUUUUGCCUCAAUCAGUAGCACACCAUAAAAUCCUCUUCCUGUUUCCCACAGAGGACCCCUCUCCUAAUUCAGCUUGCAUCUCCCUCACCCUCUAUAAUCACAUCCAACGAAUCAAAACCUAUCUAUUCUGUUUAGAGCUAUUCAGAUACACUCAUAUGCUUAAACGAGCACACUGGCUGGAUACAUUUAUUUAGCUCGUUUAAUAUCACAGUAGCCUUAUGGACCAGCUCUUCCCAACAGAAAUAUAAUGUGGGAGUUCCCAUCGUGGCGCAGUGGUUAGCGAAUCCGACUAGGAACCAUGAGGUUGCGGGUUCGAUCCCUGCCCUUGCUCAGUGGGUUAACGAUCCGGCGUUGCUGUGAGCUGUGGUGCAGGUUGCAGACGCGGCUCAGAUCCUGCGUUGCUGUGGCUCUGGUGUAGGCCAGUGGCUACAGCUCCGAUUCGACCCCUAGCCUGGGAACCUCCAUAUGCAUUGGGAGCGGCCCAAGAAAUGGCAAAAAGACAAAAAAGACAAAAAAAAAAAAAAAAAAAAAA